rnacentral:lncRNA from 1 species
UCCCUGGUGCAGACCAAAGCCUGCUGCACCUGAAAGAACCCUGGCCCCGUCUCACCCCUGAAUGCGCUGGAUAUGAUCUCAUGGGGAAAGAAUCCACCUUGUUUUCCAAAGCCAAAAAUGAAACAAACCAAUUGUACUUGCAAUUCAUACUCGAUAUUUUCCAUCUCUGAGUUUGUAAACUAGAACAGAGGGAUUUAAGACAUACAAGAAAAGAAAAAAGUUGCUUAGAGAAAAAUUUAAGAAAAGGUCAGUGAUGCCAUCCAAACAGCCAUGAAGAGAUGACAGUCAUUACCCAAGGACUCUGAUGAUGGAGUUUGGGAGGCAGCCUGGGGUGGAGAAGAAAGUGAAUGGCUCAGGUUUCAGGCCAAGGUGGGUGUGCAUCUUGGCUCUGUCACUUACUAGCAGCAUAAGAAGAGCAAAGUGACCCAGCCUCUCCCAGCCUCAGUUUUCUCAUUCGUACAACAGUGGUAGCAGUGCCUACCCCAUUCUUGUCAGAAUCCCAUGCCGGCAUGUAGCACAUGGAGUGUGCUAGGACAUACAUGGCACUUCUAGCAGGGUGCUGGCACAGCCAGAAGCAGCGGUACGGGAGUGGCUUCCAUUACCCUCAAGUUGUUUAGGCCACAAUAACCCAGUGUGAUCAAACUUCCUCAUCUUUUGCAGACAGCCUUCCCAUACCACGACCCUAAACGUGGUACAAGAAGGUGUCCUGACAUUUUGAACAAUGUUUGCCAUAAAACCAAAUCUCCAUGCAUUUCCACAAGAGUGGCUAGAUAAUAUGAUAAAUCAUCUACAGAAAUGCAGGAUUCUUCGUGACUCAUUUAAAAAUAGAAAUGCUUUAUACUGUUAUCUACCAAUGGAAUGAAAUCGGCAUGCCUAUGGUCUCAACAAACUAGCGUGAUGGAGGGAGGCUCUAGAUCAUGCCAAAUGAAUUUUUAUCAAAUAUUAAUCCAAAUUCAUAUGCAGGAUUGUUCAUUAGAGAUGGAAUCCAGUGCCAGCAUUUACUGGGGACUAUAUUUCACAAAUUCCCCUACAUCUGACUUGAGGAAAAUCUGACUUUGAGCAAACGUUCAGCCCAGUGAGUGCUUCUUGAUCAUUACAAUGGCCUAAUAAUAGAAGAAGGUUUCCCGUAGGUAGAGUUAAAAUCAGCACAUUCAUUCAAGCACACACAGCAAUGAAAAGUAGAGGCAAAGUCAGAGCAUGAAAAAUAAGAUCUAGGGACUCUUCUCCCACACAUGUUGAACUUUAAAGUUAAGACAGUGAUGCCUAUAUGGGUAAUAGAUAAAUCCUCCAAACUUGAGGCAGCCUGGUCUUCAAAGUCCAGAAAAUUGUUUGCAGACUUGUCUCAGCCAUGAAUACAAGUUUUGGCUUACACAUUUAGGGUGAAUAAGGGAUCCAAUAAAUGAGAAUGUUGUAGUAUCUUCCCUCUGUGAACAGAAAUUUUAUGACAAAUUAGUGUUCUAGAAAAACAAGAGGUGCCUAAGAGGUUUCUAGCUUUGGUGGGCACAGAAAGAGCAUUCCAAGAAUGUACCAGGAGAUGCCCAGAAAGGAGGUCAAGGAGGCAGUGACAGAAACACAGAAAUGGAGACAGAAAUCAGAGACAGCCAUAAAAAAAAAAAAAAAAA